rnacentral:rRNA from 1 species
ACUUAACCCCACACAAUCCUGAGUGCACCUGGUCUUGUCUGAUCUCUGAAGCUAAGCAGGGUUGGGCAUGGUUAGUACUUGG